GUGACGGGUACGGGGAUCAGGGUUCGAUUCCGGAGAGGGAGCCUGAGAAACGGCUACCACAUCUAAGGAAGGCAGCAGGCGCGCAAAUUACCCAAUCCAGACAUUGGGAGGUAGUGACGAGAAAUAUCAAAGCGUGCCUCAAAGGUUCGCUAUUGAAAUGAACGUAACAUAGUACCUUCGAUGAGUACCCACUGGAGGGCAAGUCUGGUGCCAGCAGCCGCGGUAAUUCCAGCUCCAGUAGUGUAUAUCAAAAUUGUUGCGGUUAAAACGCUCGUAGUUGGAUUACAAAAGUUUGGCGUCGGUUGAGCAAUUGUUUGGCAGGCGUUGGGCUUUUUUAUCGCAAGAACCAUGUAUGCACUUAACCGUGUGUGUGUGGCCACUUGCGGAGCGUGCCUUGAAUAAAGCAAAGUGCUCAAAGCAAGCGUAUCGCUCGAAUGUUAUAGCAUGGAACGAAUAGCCUGGCAAGGUUCAGUUUGUUGGUUCUCUGAGCCGGGUCCAUUGAUUAAAAGGGACAUUUGAGGGCGUUAGUACUUGGUGGCGAGAGGUGAAAUUCUUAGACCCACCAAAGACUCACUAAUGCGAAAGCAUUCGCCAAGAAUGUUUUCAUUGAUCAAGAACGAAAGUUAGAGGUUCGAAGACGAUUAGAUACCGUCCUAGUUCUAUACAGUAAACUAUGCCACCUCGGGAUUAGUCCGGAGAAUGAUCCAGGUUGGUCCCCCAAGGAAACUUGAAGUGUUCGGGUUCCGGGGGGAGUAUGGUCGCAAGUCUGAAACUUAAAGGAAUUGACGGAAGGGCACCACCAGGAGUGGAGCCUGCGGCUUAAUUUGACUCAACACGGGGCAACUCACCAGGUCCAGACAUUGAAAGGAUUGACAGACUGAUAGAUCUUUCAAGAUCCAAUGAUUGGUGGUGCAUGGCCGUUCUUAGUUGGUGGAGUGAUCUGUCAGGUCUAUUCCGGUAACGAGCGAGACCACGAUCCCUAUUUGAUUACGGCUGUUUUAGUCAUGGCUGAUCAUAGGGAGACUACCGGAGUACAAGCCGGGGGAAGCGUGGCAAUAACAGGUCUGUGAUGCCCUUCGAUGUUCUGGGCCGCACGCGCGCUACAAUGGCAGUGACAACAAGUGUCUGCACCGAGAGGUGUGGAAAAUCUUGACAAUCGCUGUCGUAAUUGGGAUUGAGCCUUGUAAUAUUUGCUCAUGAAAGAGGAAUUCCUCGUAAGCGCAAGUCACCAACUUGUGUUGAAUACGUCUCUGCCCUUUGUACACACCGCCCGUCGCUACUACCGAUUGAAUGGCUUUUCGAGAAGUCGGGAUCGGGGAUCGCAAGAUCUUCUGAGAGCUGCUUCGA
rnacentral:rRNA from 1 species